rnacentral:misc_RNA from 1 species
UAAUAAGUGUUUUAUGGCACUUUUUAAAUCCAUAUCCACCUUGUGUGCAAUGUCAGCCGAUCUUCUUCAUGGAGAUCGACCAAACAUCAACCUUUAUUUUUUAACUCUUUGUCUGAAAAAUAUUAUGAAUAAACAAUUCAAAAUAC